UUGCUUUUCCCACAUAAGAGGUCAGACCUGCCCAGUGAUAUUUAAUAUUUAACGGCCGCGGUAUUUUGACCGUGCUAAGGUAGCGCAAUCACUUGUCAUUUAAAUGAAGACCUGUAUGAAUGGUUUCACGAGGGCUUAACUGUCUCCCCCCUUUAGUCAAUGAAAUUGAUCUUCCCGUGCAGAAGCGGGAAUUAAUACAUAAGACGAGAAGACCCUAUGGAGCUUUAAAUAAAUAUGUACGCCAAGUCAAUGAAGCACAUAAGACUAUGAAACUUAUUGGCCUUUAUAUAGUAUUUUUGGUUGGGGCGACCCUGGGGAAAACAAAACCCCCAUGUGGAUUAAGGACACCUUGAGACUAGAUUCUCCCCCUUAGAACCCAGAAAGUCAUUUCUAAUCACCAGAACUUCUGACCUACAGGAUCCGGCAUAGCCGACCAACGAACCUAGUUACCCUAGGGAUAACAGCGCAAUCCCCUCCUAGAGCCCUUAUCGACGAGGGGGUUUACGACCU
rnacentral:rRNA from 1 species